rnacentral:lncRNA from 1 species
GCUGCUCUUCAGCAUAGCAAAUGCACCCGCCUGUUCUGCCUGCUGCUUAGCAGUCAUAGCCUGCCUAGGGUCACUUUCAGAGUCAAGGUGUGUUUGGGGAGGAUGGCUGCACACUCCAAGCUGCAAGAACUAUUAUGACUUCAGAGGCCAGGUUCCACAGGUAGCUGUGACAACAGUCCUGGCAAAAGUGCAAGUCUACUGGGAAUUUCUAGGAAUGUUCGACUUUCCUAAUCAGAAACCACCUUCCCUUCUCACCUCAUCUUCCUACCUGGAAUGCAGUUGCUACUGUGUUUGGGUUUUUCUGUUACCUGCAGCCAAACACAAUCCUGAUAUGACUGGUUUUACAGAAAUUCAGGUAAGGAAGCUGUGAGAAUGUGAUCACCCACUCUGGACAGAGGUGGUGCGAUGAAGUCUUCACAGCUAGAAGUCAGGAAACUUCCCGUCUUGUCUGUAUAACUUCAUGC